rnacentral:rRNA from 1 species
UCAAGCAACUAAGCGCAUACGGUGGAUGCCUUGGCAGUCAGAGGCGAUGAAAGACGUGGAAGCCUGCGAUAAGGUUCGGGGAGCUGGCAAACAAGCUGUGAUCCGGGCAUUUCUGAAUGGGGAAACCCACCGACUUUCGGGUCGGUAUCUUGCACUGAAUACAUAGGUGUAAGGGGCGAACGCGGAGAACUGAAACAUCUAAGUACCCGGAGGAAAAGAAAUCAACCGAGAUCCCCUGAGUAGCGGCGAGCGAAAGGGGGUUAGCCCAAAAGUUUGUUAUGUGCUAGUGGAAUAUUCUGGAAAGUUUGACAAUAGAGGGUGAUAGUCCCGUACACGAAAGCGCAUAGUGAAUGAAUCUGAGUAGGUCGGGACACGUGAUAUCCUGAUUGAAUAUGGGGGGACCAUCCUCCAAGGCUAAAUACUCUCUACCGACCGAUAGUGAACCAGUACCGUGAGGGAAAGGC